rnacentral:rRNA from 1 species
GCGGGAUUGGCCCUUCGGGGCCAUGAGAGCGGCGCACGGGUGAGUAACGCGUACACGACCUACCUCUAACAGGGGGAUAGCCCUGGGAAACUGGGAUUAAUACCGCAUAUAAUUCUUAUUUUAAAAGGUGAGAAUGAAAGUUGAGGCGGUUAGAGAUGGGUGUGCGUCUGAUUAGCUAGUUGGUAAGGUAACGGCUUACCAAGGCGAUGAUCAGUAGGGGGCGUGAGAGCGUGGUCCCCCACACGGGUACUGAGACACGGACCCGACUCCUACGGGAGGCAGCAGUAAGGAAUAUUGGUCAAUGGGCGAAAGCCUGAACCAGCCAUCCAGCGUGCAGGAAGAAGGCCCUAUGGGUUGUAAACUGCUUUUGUCAGGGAAGAAACCUCUGGAUUUACUCCGGAGCUGACGGUACCUGAAGAAUAAGCACCGGCUAACUCCGUGCCAGCAGCCGCGGUAAUACGGAGGGUGCGAGCGUUA